ACGGGAUGCUUGUGCGGGAGCCCGGGAGCGCGGAGGCAGAGGGUUGGAAAAGCGAGCGCUGACAGCCAUCAUGUGACCCAGCUGUCAGUGUGUGCCACCUGGAGCCGCCAUCCGCCACCACCAAUCCCAGCGCCGCCGCCGACCCCUGCGCACCAUUUCACCACUAGAAGAAAGGCCUUUAAAUGUUUAACUACACGGGGUCUCGUUUGCAUGCGUGCUGGGAAGGGGGAAGAGGUGCCUACGGCUACCGAUGCCUGCUGCCUGCCUUUGCAUCGCUGGAUCUCAGCUCUGCAGCGUGUUUGCAGGCUAAGUAAAACCAGCUCCGUUCCGGGUAUCACAGCAGCACCCACUCCCCCCUCCCCAUCGGCUCCUAUAAGAACAAAGAAAGCACUGUAUGCCCUGCAAGGCCUCAUUAGUAUUACAAGUGAAGCAUCAGGAACAUGCACGACAACUGGAUGGCAAUAUAUAGGAUUGCCCGUUCCACUGCGCCCUGCAACACAACGCUUCGGGCUAUCGAUGACUCCCCGGUAUCACGAAGCGGGUGAGCUGACACGCUUGUUCACGGCCUCUGGUCCCGGGACCCAACAACCCCAACAGCCCGGAUGAUGUUUUGCCACCCAGGAUGGAUUCCACCGGGGAACACCGAGCUCCCUCUUCGGCUACGCAUCUGCUGGAUUGCGUUCAGGGAGAAAUCCUUAAUCUAUUGACACAACAGUAGUUUUGCUGCUGACUGACAAGAAAGGUAACCUGAUGCGUAUUAAAGACAAGUGCUUUGAAAGCAGACCCAGCCUCCAUCCAACAACUGACCAGGAAAAAUACUGGAAGGAAUUUCUCUUCAAAUAGAGACAGACUCAGAGCGUAUGGAGAGUAAGUAGCGUUUUAGCCAGAUCAGUGAAUAUUUAUUGCUUGAGGAAGGACUUCAGAUACUCAAUGUUGGUUCAAACACACUGUCACCAUUCCCACAUCCAAGAAAAUACUCAGGCCUCUAAGAUUAAGCAUCAACAAUCCUCUUCUCUAGGCAUAUAUCCAGGCACAGUGAACAUCCUAUAUACUGAUCUGGAACUGCGGAGGUAGGGUUUUAAAAACAUCUGAUUCUAAAUUUCUGAGGACAGUGGGAUAUUCUGGUCACACCAGUAUGUACCUAUGGUAUUUCACCUAUGCCGUGAAAGCUUUAUGGGGUUUGCAACAGGCCUACAGCAUCUAUCGUUGAAAGGUAUCUCCAGAAAAACAGCUUCCCCCCCAGUUCCAAAAGAAGUCCCUCAUUUACCACCUCAGCGGUAUUUGGCUUUGGCAGAGAACAUGAUACUCUCCACCUCUUUGAAAGGGUGCAGGCUCUUCUUGUGCGCGUGCAUGUGUGUAAAUUUGAACUUGGAAAACAAAGCUGAUAUAAUACUCUCUAGCUUCAGAAAAAUACUUUAAAAGUUCAAUAAAUAAAGGGAUCACAGUCUCCUGCCUUAGCCCAUCACCUUCCAGAGAGAUCUGGGGAGGGCACUUCAGUACCCACACACAUCCACGCGAUCGCAGGUGGGAAAGAUGCAGGUGAUGGUGUCCAGCCGCACGGACAGCCGAUGGACACUCCAGCCAAGGGGUUCUGUGCAGACCCCGAUGCCAGACUGGGGCUGUGGCUCGGUCUUAAACAUAUAUAAGCCACAAAAAAAAAAAAAUCCUCAAAACAAGAGAGCACUGAAAAAAAGCUACUUUCUUCGUUUUAUCCAACGGCAUGUCUGAAAACCUUUAUAAUUACUGGAAAGGCUCAUAUGUACCUUUUGGGUAUAAAUUAUCUGAUUUUAAACUGAGGAGACAACAGUUGGCUCCAACCACAAACUAAAAAAGUAAUGAAAUGAUUCAUUUUUGUUCUCCACUGCCUUAACGAGUUUUUUUAGUCUUUCUCUUGAAAGAAGGCUUCCCUCACCCAUGUUGUGAACACAUACAACAAAGAGCCAGUAAGCAAGCCAAGAAAUGUUUAUUGCUUAGUAAUGCACGAAGGUAGGAGCUGGAAGCCACACUACACAAAAAAAGAGAAAACCAAUUAGGAUUUUAUUUGAAAUCUGACUGGGAAUACUUGGAUACCAUUUCCCUACAAAAUACUCACCUUAGUAGGUUUACCACUGAGCUAGACUUUUUAAAAAAAAGUGCUUUUGUGCAUUUUUGUAUCCCUGUAAAAAAAAUUCCACUGAAUUCCUCACUGCUGGCGAGGAAGAGCAGACAGUAUCGAAACAUAAACCUUCCGUAUACACUGGAGCACACACACAUACCUGCGCGCACAAACAUCAGCCCAGCCAGAGGUCAGCAAGAGCCAAAACGAUGAGAAAGAUCCCUGCAAGGAAGCUGCAGGAUUUCCAAAACCUAGGCCCCAUUUUCUUUAAAGAAAACCAGAUUUUUAAACACUGAAACAAGUGCUUUUCAUAUGCUAUACAACAACAACAAAAGACAACAGAGAAGCAAAGUUUAUAAACUCUCCAAACACAGGAUUCUCACUGGCAGCGAGAGGUCUCAGGACUGGAACGAACCGUCUCUAUGGGGGGGUGUAAAAGAGCGUCAGCGUAAACACGGAUCUGCCUAGGAGCAUGCCUGGAGGGUGCGACACGGAACGUUAUCUUUCAAGAACGGGGAUGCUGAGACCUCAGCAGAUGGACUGUCCCUUCCCUGUUGUAAUUUCUCAAGUCAUGAUAAAAGAUGCUUAAAAUAAAAAUAACUACCAAAGUAAAAAUCUGAUGCAUGGUUAAGCCACUGGAACAUUGGUGUUUGUUUUGUAUCGCAUUCCCAAUUGCAAUCUACUAUAAAUAAGACACCGAACAAACCUCCAUAAUACCAACUGGUACUGCAAGACAACAGGGCAUUUUCCCCCUGCCAAACAGUUAUUUUAUUGUGCGCUCUCGGGUGUGCAGAGCAGAAUGAUCUUUUGCUGUAGCUAUUAAAAAUAAAGUGUAAGUAGUCCA